rnacentral:lncRNA from 1 species
ACAGACAUUGGGAAAUGUGAGGCAAAAGGAAUGUGAGUGGAUGCAGCUUCAGUUGGUUCUGAUGAUUCUGAUUCAAAGUGUUCAAAACUCUUUGGAAAGUGUUGCAGGAGUCACAGCAUUACUUUCUUCAAACUGAACCUCUGCAAACUCUUCAGGCAUGUCAGGCCUGAGUCUUUUGGUGAAUUAAAUCAUCUUUGAUGAAUCUUGCCUGGCCCAGCUGAGAAGCCUUGAUGAUGACUUAGGCCACUUCUACAAAGCACCAUGGCAGCUCUUUUCUUUUCGAAUGAAAAAUACUAAUUUUUCACAGGAAGCAGGAGAAAGAGGAAGAGACUGCAGUGAUGGAGUUUAGCUAUCCAUCAUGGUGAAACUGUCAGAGGAGCUGAGCAUGGUUCCUUGGCAUGCUUCCUAGAGGAAAGUGUUUCACCAGUCAAAAGCAGAGUUUCUGCAGACCAGGAGGAAAAAGAUGCUCUUGUCCUGAAAAUAUGCUGAUGCUACAGAGAGUUUUUGAAUAAGAAGCACAAGAAUUUUCACUGAGAU